AGGAGGAGGAUAGGUUUAAAUCCAAAGACAAAGCUCCUCCAGUGUAAAGGAAACCCCUGAAGCACAGAGACUAUGAGAAUUGGAAGGUCAAUGUUGAAUCAACUGAAGAUGGAUUGAUUUCACAUGCAUGUUAAUUCUCUUCAAAUUUGGAUGAUGUCUGGUUAAUGUUUGUGUUAAUCAAUGUAUCUAUCAUUUUGGGAACUAUCUUCGAAUCUGAUAUGUCAAUUAUCUUCUAAUCUUGUUUGAAUCAUUUGGACAGUAAUAUCAUUAUUUUGGGAACUAUGUACCUAAUUUUUGUAUCUUU